rnacentral:rRNA from 1 species
AUUGAACGCUGGCGGCAUGCCUUACACAUGCAAGUCGGACGAGUGGCGAACGGGUGAGUAAUGCAUCGGAACGUACCGAGUAGUGGGGGAUAACUGUCGGAAACGACAGCUAAUACCGCAUAUUAUUCGAGCGGCCGAUUUCGGAUUGGCUGGUGGGGGGGGUAAAGGCCCACCAAGGCGACGAUCCGUAGCGGGUCUGAGAGGAUGAUCAGCCAAACUGGAACUGAGACACGGUCCAGACUCCUACGGGAGGCAGCAGUGGGGAAUAUUGGACAAUGGGCGCAAGCCUGAUCCAGCCAUGCCGCGUGUAUGAAGAAGGCCUUCGGGUUGUAAAGGACUUUUAGCAGGGAGGCGUUACCUGCAGAAUAAGCACCGGCUAACUACGUGCCAGCAGCCGCGGUAAUUC